rnacentral:rRNA from 1 species
AGUGAACGCUGGCGGUAGGCCUAACACAUGCAAGUCGAACGGCAGCACAGUAAGAGCUUGCUCUUACGGGUGGCGAGUGGCGGACGGGUGAGGAAUACAUCAGAAUCUACUUUUUCGUGGGGGAUAACGUAGGGAAACUUACGCUAAUACCGCAUAUGACCUACGGGUGAAAGCAGGGGAUCUUCGCACCUUGCGCGAUUGAAUUAGCCGAUGUCGGAUUAGCUAGUUGGCGGGGUAAAGGCCCACCAAGGCGACGAUCCGUAGCUGGUCUGAGAGGAUGAUCAGCCACACUGGAACUGAGACACGGUCCAGACUCCUACGGGAGGCAGCAGUGGGGAAUAUUGGACAAUGGGCGCAAGCCUGAUCCAGCCAUACCGCGUGGGUGAAGAAGGCCUUCGGGUUGUAAAGCCCUUUUGUUGGGAAAGAAAAGCAGCAGGUUAAUACCCCGCUGUUCUGACGGUACCCAAAGAAUAAGCACCGGCUAACUUCGUG